CACGUAGGGGGCGAGCGUUGUCCGGAUUUAUUGGGCGUAAAGAGCUCGUAGGCGGCUCAGUAAGUCGGGUGUGAAAACUCCAGGCUCAACCUGGAGACGCCACCUGAUACUGCUGUGGCUAGAGUCCGGUAGGGGAGCAUGGAAUUCCUGGUGUAGCGGUGAAAUGCGUAGAUAUCAGGAGGAACACCAGUGGCGUAAGGCAGG
rnacentral:rRNA from 1 species